rnacentral:lncRNA from 1 species
AUGUCUCAGGAAUCGAGGGCCUUUCUUUCUUCUGUCUGGGAGCAUCCGACAAGUGAAGGAGCUGCUCCAGCAGGAAAGAGUAUCCAUGUCCAUCCUGUAGCCCUGACAGCUCAGCCCCGAUUGCUCAUCUGUUUCCAAGUAGAGCUGAGACAUGUUGCUGGUGGGCAGAGAAGUCAGGGACACUACAUCCAGCACCCUGCAGCAGAGGAAGGAUUAGUACUGCUGUUGUUAGCCUUGUUAUUUUCUCCUAAUAAAAAGGUGGUCGUGACUCACUCCAUUAAGAAACAAAAGCAGAGCUGUAAUCUACUGAAAGGCAGUUGUUUGGAUGCUCAGCAUUAGGUGUGUAAAAGGAGGAAGGUCAGCUGCAGGUCAGGUCUGGUGAUAUACACCCUGCCACCAGCACGGGCCAAACUUCAGGUACUCCCAGAGAACCGAUUUUCUGGGCUGGGGUAGUUUGCCCCGGCUUCAGAAGCAUCACUUCAGGCAGGAGUGUGGAGGGAGAAAAAGCUCUUUUUCUCACCCCUCCACAUUUCAGUUGGGUUUCCUGAGAGGAAAUGAUAUUGUGACUGUGCUGGCCCCCUCCUUCCUCUCAGGAGGGAGGAGCACGCCAGCAUCUGCUCACAGCACUUCUUCCCUCCCUGUGCCCCACUGGGACCAGUUUGCCAGCUGAGCUGUUACUGGGGUCUGAGUCCCAGGGAAGCAGGCUGCUUGUCAGAGAGGAAACAGUGGCCCCUGAAGCUGGGGGCUGAGAGGCAGGAAAGGCAGGUUGUGUUCAGGUGGUGUGGAGGUUUCCUGUGUGAGGGGGACUAGGUCACAGCACCCCUGCCUAUGCCAGAUUUCCCAUCUAGUCCAUGUGAAGGCUUUUGGCACAGCUGUAGUGAUCCAGUUCUGACAGGAACCAUGCUGGCAUGUGGAUCUCACCCAGCCAUGUGGCUCUGACAAUGCCCAGCUGCCUCCCGGGGGGGUGCAGGGCAGGGGAAGGAGCCAGGCUGCCGUGAUGGCAGUGGCCAGGUGAAGACAACACCCACGCUGAGAUGCGCUGUGAACAUCUGCCCCUACCCACAAGCUACUUCUAUUUUUGUUCCAUCUCAUACCCUGGCUGACUCAGAGGAGGGGAGUGAGGGGGGGUCAGGUAGAGAGGAGCCAGAUGGGAGGACUGUAGGGGAAUUGAAAGAGGAAGAGGAGGAGGAGUUGCUUCAAAACCAGUAGUUGCCAUUCUCUCAAUCAGCUUGACCGUUCUCUUUCCACAGUCUCUUUCAUGCUUCUGUGUUUCAGCUGCAGGCAAUUUGAGGCAGGGAUGGCACUUCCUGCCUGCUGUUGAGGUGAGCAUUCUUUCAGGGCACCAUCAGAAUAAAUGACACCCUGCUCUUAGAUAGCUCCACUGUCAUCUACCUGGGCUCCAAUGAGCUUGACUGGAGUUCACCCCUUUGCUUAACUUCUUCUAGGAAUUUCCACUCAUCGUUUUGGUGCCUUUACAAAACCAUCUACAAUGAAAGGGCAAGUGUCAAAUUUCCUAAUUCCUGUGUGUCUUAGUGUCGUGACUUCUGGACACAGGCACAGUCAGCAGUGUGUGGUGUAAGUCUUGCAAGUCCUUGAGACACAAUCUUGCAGCCACAGGGAAAGGGACCCUCCAGUCAAACAGCCAAACCAGCAAUUUUUGUAUUGCAAGUGGCCCUCUCAUCCCCGUCCCUCUGGCUUCAGAGCAUUCUCAGAUUUUGCAGAAAUGGCUCGUCUUGCUUUGUCUCAGUCCACUACUUGUUGUUCCUUAGGUUGUAAACCUUGGGCUAAGUAACAGCAUCCUCGGGGUUGUUCCCCAGGCAGUUCAUGUUGAUCACUCAGUUGUUGAAGCUGCCUUAAUGCAAACCGUGGCCUAAGCAGGGGAC